UACGUAGGGUGCGAGCGUUGUCCGGGAUUAUUGGGCGUAAAGAGCUUGUAGGCGGUUUGUCGCGUCUGCCGUGAAAGCCCAGGGCUUAACCCUGGGUCUGCGGUGGGUACGGGCAGACUAGAGUGUGGUAGGGGAGACUGGAAUUCCUGGUGUAGCGGUGAAAUGCGCAGAUAUCAGGAGGAACACCGAUGGCGAAGGCAGCUCGCUGGGACGGUACUGACGCUGAGACGCGAAAGCGUGGGGAGCAAACAGG
rnacentral:rRNA from 1 species